UUUCCAAAAAUGGCCCUUGAAUUGUGAGUCUUAAAGUAGUAAUAAUCAUUUCUCAUCAGUUUGAGAAAACAACACGUUUUUAAAGCAGAUCUAGUAACUGAUGAGUGUCUGUUCCCUUUGGUAGCAUUGUUUCUUUACACUUUUUUCUUCAAGGGAAAGAGAAGCAGCCGAAAGAAAAAAGAAAGACAAGGAGAACACGGGAAGCACAGGAGAGAAGAACAACGAAAAGCAGGUUUUGACGGGAUCAGUGCCAUGAAUUCCGGGACAUGGUGAGAAACUGAAAGCUGGUGUGCACUGCAGACUAUGAUCCUGUUCGAGGUCCAUAUGACAAGAUGCACCCCAACAAGUGUGCCACGUGUCAGAGCAUGUUUGAGCGAGAAGUUAACGAAAGAAAAAAGAAUGAAGAAACAUCAAGUGCCAAGCCCUCAAACUAUGCAAAGGUUAUUUCUUAGAAGCUACGAAGAUAACUGUUUUACUGCUCAUCCUCAGAAUCUUGAAUGCUACUCCAGUUUUAGGAUAAUAAAGAUGCUAAUCUUUUGCUUCAAAGAAAA